AUUGGGGUGGCAGAGCAUGGUAAAUUGCAAAAGGUCUAAGCCCUUUAAGUCAGAGGUUCAAAUCCUCUUCCCAGUU
rnacentral:tRNA from 1 species